rnacentral:rRNA from 1 species
AUGUUGCUGCUAUCACCGCUGCUGUUAUCCGUGGGGUUGCUGCUGCUGAUGGUAUCGCCGCUGCUGUUGUCCAUGGGGUUGCUGCUGCUGAUGGUAAUGGUAUCGCUGCUGCUGCUGCUGUUGUUUGUGGGGUUGGUCUCGCUGUUGCUUAGCAGGUCUUCGUCCUGGUGGCAGUGCUCCUUGCAUCUGCUUUUCAUUAUGUGGGGCUUGAGCUUGCUCAUGUCUGAUAGCCGUACUGGUUUCAGGAAGAACUCAUUUGCUCCUUCCUCCAGGCAUCUGAUUCAGAACAAACAAAACAGCAAUUGUCAGAGUUCAUUCUAA